AUUUUCUUGCGUACAACGGCCUACUCAGUACAAGAUGAGAACUCAGUACGUCAAAUAGGAAGGAAUGUGGAUCACAGGUCCAUUUCACACGGUCACCGCUGACUGGAGAAAUCACUCUGGACCUUCAUAAGAUAGGAGAACCCCUUUGGAAUGGACAAAAACCUGGAAAUGGAUGCCACAUGAUAGAUGAAAAGGAGCAGUUUCUUAUGCAAAACAGACCCUUUUCAACUUUACUACUAAGCCUCAUCCAGUAUGUCCAAAGCCUCCACCGAGACGGCCUUGUUGCGGUCGUGUAACUGAGUCACCAGCAGUUCAAUACCCCAGUUGCUGAAGAACUCCACGUUAGCUCGAAGUAGCACCCGCAGAUGCUUGGUGGC